UUACCACAAGUGGGUUUUGAGGGGAAGAUUUUUAGUAUAAAGUCUUGGUCAUCUCUAGCCCUGUGGGGGAUAAAAACCUCACUCCACAGUUAGCUGUGUGAUUUAUAUGUGGCUCAUUACUAUUUUGUGGCCUGGAAG
rnacentral:snoRNA from 1 species